rnacentral:rRNA from 1 species
CCUACGGGUGGCUGCAGUGGGGAAUAUUGGACAAUGGGGGGAACCCUGAUCCAGCCAUGCCGCGUGUGUGAAGAAGGCCCUCGGGUUGUAAAGCACUUUCAGUGAGGAAGAACGCCUGGUGGUUAAUACCCAUCAGGAAAGACAUCACUCACAGAAGAAGCACCGGCUAACUCCGUGCCAGCAGCCGCGGUAAUACGGAGGGUGCGAGCGUUAAUCGGAAUUACUGGGCGUAAAGCGCGCGUAGGUGGCUUGAUAAGCCGGUUGUGAAAGCCCCGGGCUCAACCUGGGAACGGCAUCCGGAACUGUCAAGCUAGAGUGCAGGAAAGGAAGGUAGAAUUCCCGGUGUAGCGGUGAAAUGCGUAGAGAUCGGGAGGAAUACCAGUGGCGAAGGCGGCCUUCUGGACUGACACUGACACUGAGGUGCGAAAGCGUGGGUAGCAAACAGGAUUAGAUACCCUAGUAGUC